rnacentral:lncRNA from 10 species
AACAAAGGCAAUUCGUUCUGUAAAAAUACUCUAGAUUCUUUCUGAGGACUGGGCACUACACUGCUCAUAGUGGGCACCUAAAGUCAGCAUUCAGCCAACUCAGCGGGCUUUAAGAUGGAGACUCUUAAACCUCCUGCAUCAAAAAGACAUAAGGGAAUGUCCCUGAGAAGAGCCUGUGUCUCCUUUGAAGAGAGAGAGAGAGAUUGAUUCUGCCUCCUUGCAAUUCGAACCGGCAUUUUCCAGAACACUCCAAUUUGAAUCACAGUGGAGGGUCAUGGGAGGGAUUUGGCACAGGGGAGUCUUGGGUCUUUGGUUUUCCACAUUGAUCAAUGGGAUUGAUUUUUUCUGUUUUUGUUUUUGUUUUAAAAGAAGAGAAUUAGUUCCUUUUUCUGUCUCCAGGAUUGAAAACAUGAAGGCAAAGAAGAGAAACUCACAAUAUGUCAUUAACUUUGGGUUAUCAAUAUUAGUGGAAAGAAUCAAUGGUGCAAAGAAUCCUAAAGGACUAGAUAAUCCGCAUAUUCGACUUCCUGAUUAUGUGUUACUGACACUAACAUUUCAGAGUGUGGAGACCCUGCCCCAUCUGGGGAGAGGGAGAGACAAAGACCCCCUGCUUCUGGUACUUGAUUCACACAUAAUGCCCUCCAUUUACUGCUUUCAAGAAAUAACCUGUUUCUAAUCUUAAAUUUCAAUCUACUGAUCACAAAAUCAUAGAGAUCUUAGCCUUGAAAGAGACUUCAUGAGACCAUGUGACCAACUUUCUGACGCAGGAUUAGAACAUCCGACAUUAAAAUGUCUCAGUGCAGCAGAAUUUCCCAGCGACUUCGGUGGCGGGAGAGCAGCACCUCUCAGGCACAGCUGUGCGCAUCCCUCGGGCCCCACCGACCGCACCAUCUGACCGCGGGAAACGAAAUCUGAGCUCAGGAAUUUGAACUGCCCCACGCACGUUCGUUCCCGGAUAAAUCUCCUAGAGGACCGUGAUUUUUCCACUUAGAGAUUAUUUAGGGAGAUGUCCUGGAUGGGACAAGUAGACAAAUGGCGGCCCGAGGAAAAUGCAGGAAACUCUACAUUGUAGACGCUUAAGCACCAACUGUCUGGGCCCCGGGGCAGGGAACGGGAGACAUUAUCCACCGGAAACAUCACACCCCCGGGGCUCCUGGCAUUUUCUACAUCAGUGAAUGUGCCAGCGAAGAAGAGUGUGGGGAAAUUUUCUGAACAUAGAAUUCAUAUUCCUGAAACGUUAAGUCGUGAAGUGGGUGCUUCAGCUGUCCCCCAGCUUUAGGAUUUUAACCCAGCUUUGGUUUUGAUCACCGAGAGUUAUUCCUUAUAAUCAAAUCAGCAAAAGCGUUCAAUUACCUAUUACUGGUUGAGAAAGAUUCCGUUCCCCCAGCUCAUUGUAUCGGUUCUUGGACCCAAGAUGUUAAUUAUCGGCCAGGCAUUCACAGGGGGUUAAUAUGGCCCCCCUCGACACCUUGCCUCGUACCAGAGACACCAAAAGCUGCCGCUGAGGGAUAAUAGAGAAUGGGAAAAGCUGGUCAUGAAAAACCUCUUUUAUUCUUACUUGCAAGCUACCCUUUUGACAUUCUUUUUUUAACACUAAAUGGAGAUUACUGAAUUGAUAACUUUUGGGUUUUCUCUGUCACACUGGGGUUUUUUUCCCCCCGUUUGUUUGUAAGGUUUUUUUGGUUUUGGUUUUGGUUUUGGGGGGAGGGGAAGGGGGAAGUGGAUAGGGAGAUGGAAGAGUGUUCUGUUACUGGUUUUAUCAAAUCCUGUUAGGUCUUGUUCUUCAGUGUAAUGUAGAAUGGAGAAGUUGCAUAAGUACAUGAUUGACAAACAAGGUCUCUUAGAAGAGAGUUAAGGAGUAGGAAAUAUAAUGUGUCCUGGAGAAAAAGAAAGAGAAAACCCUUAGUAUGACACACUGGCCUUUAAAUAGAGGACACAUGAAUAUGCAAAGGAGAGGCACGUGUGAAAUAAGGUGUGCCUUGCUGAGCCCUCCCGCCCCCACCCCCCAUGUAUCAAGAACUUUACUUACAUUAUCUCAUCUAAUUCUACCCACAACCCAAGAGGAAGGGCGAUACUUUUAAUUCGGGUUUUUACAGACAAGAAAUUUGUAUCUCAGAGGCCCAAAGUAAAUUGCCUGAGGGCAUAUAGCUACUUAGGACAGAAUUAGAAUUGAUUAAAGAGUCAAAAAUUCUUUGAGAAUUAAUGUUUUAAACUCUCGAUUAGUUACCAAGGGAAUCUGAGAAAUUAAUUAACUUUUGGGGGGAUCUUUAGAUUAGUGGGGAAAUUAUGUUAAGCCCAAAGAAAGACAAGCCCGUGAAUUUUCUUGUUAUCUAUGAAGUGGUUUGGUGAAAGGUGUGACAAUUUGAGAAAACUGAAAAGUGCUGAAAUUCCUUUAAUAAGGUUCUGUUUAAACUGAUAGAGCUACCAGAUAUAAUUAGGCAGAUAUCCAUUUUCUUCUGGAAGCUUCUAUUAUUUGAGAAGAAAACUGAAAAGCUUUAGACUGUUUCAAAUUAAGGACAAUUUGAAUUUUAGUUGGAAAGCGGAUAAACUAUCUGUAUGAUUGAGUUUAAAAGGCAUGGAAAGACUAUUACGAAGUAUUGAUCCCACUCAGUGAGAGCAAGCACAGCUUUCAAAUGAUACAGAUCUGGCUAUGAAUUUGAAUGGUGACUGUGCCUAGCUGUGUGACCAAGGGCAACUUUCUUAACCUCUCUGGGCCUCUGAGUCCUCGUCUUUAAAAUGAGACAAAUAAGCCCUUGCAAGACGCUUGUGAUGAUAAAAUAAAAGAGUAUGGGUGAAAGUCCUUAACAGAAUGCCUGAUAUGUAGCAGAUACUCAACAGAGUUAGCAAUGUUUCAUUUAAUUAAAGCAUUUGAGAGCAGGAUAGGGAGCACCACUAACUUCAGCUCUUCAACAAUUUUGCCUGGGGCUGGCUCUGGGGAAUAGACUUGGAUUCUCACGAGUAUGUGAAUCUUCAGUUACUUCCUUGAAAGGACAGACAGUUAUAAAAGCAAGCAGUGAAGUCUGGGAAGGUGGAGGAGAAUGGUUAUGGAAAGUUAUCCCCACAUCAUAAGUCUUCCUGAUCUUGAGAUCAAACAACAACACUUUCAGAAACAGCAAGAAAUUAAGGCUGAAGCAAAAUACCCCCUGUAUAAUUUUUAAGUCAGUUAAUAAUGAAGGUGUAAAUAAAACAGAAAUGUCUCUGUUCUUACUUAAAUCUUGAACAAAUAAGGGAUUUUUUUCUUUAGUGUUUUUUAAUAGUUUAAUCAUUUUUUAAGACACAAUUUUUGCCUAGUUACUGUUUACUAACUGCCCUGCCAAAAAUUAGUUAUUACUUCAGGACUUAUGUUUGAAUAGAACUGCGAAAUCCUGCUUUAAAAAGUACUAUGAAACAAUUCAUCAAAAUGUUUUCCUCUGAUAUUUUUUACCAGGUAAAGGCAAGAUUACUUCUGGAGAUUUUCUUUGAAAAUAAUGAUUUUUUUUUCCUGAUUAUGAAAGUAAUACACGUUCAUUAUGGACAAUUUAGUAUAAAAUGAGAGAACAAGCUAUAAAGGAGCAAACGAGAACACCCUUAUUCUCACCAGUAAGAGUUAACCACUUUUAAUAUUUUGAUGAUUUCUUUCAGUCUUUUUACCCUUUAUUUUUUUAGCCUUGGUACGAACCUAUGGAGUAUAAAAUUGUGCAUUCUUGUUUUUAUAUUUAUUUUCUCCCAUGUAACUAAAAAGGAUCUGUAACAUUUUUAGUGACUGUCUAAUUUUAUAUCAUACCAAUAUGAUAUAUUAGUAUCAUUUUUUAAGAAACAAUAGAGAAUUCUCUAUUGUUGAGUGUCUGUGAGUCCCAGUUUUUGCUAUUGUAAAUUAUGCUAAACAAAAAUCUGUGUGCAUAAAUCUCUGAGUUUAAGAUUAUUUCGUUAAGAUAGACUUCUAUAACAAGAAUUACUAGGUUCAUAUAAUACUUCUAAUGCUUUUGAAAUAUAUUGUCGUAUUGAUUUUAGCAGUUUUCAGUCCAAGCAGCAAUAGAUGAAGAGAGCUGUUCUCUCCUAAUGCCUCUAGUCAUAGUGACUGAUACCACAGCC